AACAUCGCGCACCUGCGGGAACCUGCGGAAGGAUCAUUACCGAGUUAGGGUAGUCACUCACUGCCCGACCUCCCAACCCUGUGUCUAUCACACUUUGUCGUUGCUUCGGCGGACCGGUUGACCAACUGGUCAUGACCGCCGGGGGCUGGCUCUGUCCCCCCUGGAGAGCGUCCGCCGAUGGCCCAACCACAAAACUCUUGUACCGAAACGUGUCGUCUGAAUUAUGUUUGAGAAAUCAAA
rnacentral:misc_RNA from 1 species